UCCAGACUCCUACGGGAGGCAGCAGUGGGGAAUAUUGCACAAUGGGCGCAAGCCUGAUGCAGCCAUGCCGCGUGUAUGAAGAAGGCCUUCGGGUUGUAAAGUACUUUCAGCGGGGAGGAAGGGAGUAAAGUUAAUACCUUUGCUCAUUGACGUUACCCGCAGAAGAAGCACCGGCUAACUCCGUGCCAGCAGCCGCGGUAAUACGGAGGGUGCAAGCGUUAAUCGGAAUUACUGGGCGUAAAGCGCACGCAGGCGGUUUGUUAAGUCAGAUGUGAAAUCCCCGGGCUCAACCUGGGAACUGCAUCUGAUACUGGCAAGCUUGAGUCUCGUAGAGGGGGGUAGAAUUCCAGGUGUAGCGGUGAAAUGCGUAGAGAUCUGGAGGA
rnacentral:rRNA from 1 species